rnacentral:rRNA from 1 species
CACGUAGGGGCCAAGCGUUGUCCGGAUUUAUUGGGCGUAAAGAGCUCGUAGGCGGUUCCGUAAGUCGGGUGUGAAAAAUCUGGGCUCAACCCUGGACCUGCAUUCGAUACGGGCGGACUAGAGUUCGGUAGGGGAGACUGGAAUUCCUGGUGUAGCGGUGAAAUGCGCAGAUAUCAGGAGGAACACCGGUGGCGAAGGCGGGUCUCUGGGCCGAUACUGACGCUGGAGGAGCGAAAGCGUGGGGAGCGAACAGG